rnacentral:rRNA from 1 species
AAUUGACGUUAAAAAUUAAUCCCAUUUCGGUCCUUGUUUGUAAGUUGGUUCUACACGACCAAGUCAUGAUCGAUAGGGGUGGUUGAGGAGGUGUAUGUAUGCGAGGGAGAGAGGUGAAAUUUGAUGACCCUUCUGCAGACAAACAAAAGCGAAAGCAUUCACCAAUUACAUUCCUUUUAAUCAAGAACGAAAGUUAGAGUAUCAAAGGCCAUUAGAUGCAGCUGUAGUUUUAACCAUAAACGAUGACAUCUCAGGAUAUCAUUGAUGAUUUUUUUUGUAUAUAAUUUUGGGGUAACUCAAAUUAUAUAUAUGCUAGUAAAAAUCAUGUUCAUUGGGUUCUAUAGUGGUAACACUAUAACCCGCCUCGACCAAUGAUGCACUGUGUGAGAAAUCAACAGCUGUCUUCGUGGAGUGUAUGGUUGCAAAGCUGAAAUUUAAAAGAAUUGACGGAAGUAUCACCACCAGGAGUGGAUCGUGCGGCUUAAUUUGACUCAACGCGGGAAACGUUACCAGGGCAGGACACCAUGAGGAUUGACAAUUUUAGAUAUUAGAAAUAAUAUCUAGUUUGACUGCAGCUCUUUCAAGAUUUUGUGCGUAUAAAUGUAGUGCAUGGCCUUUGGGAAGUGAGUGGAUUGAUUUUUCUCAUUAAUUUGGAUAACUAUCGAGACCAAUAUACUGAGUAUUGGGUCGGGUCAAACCGAUUUAAUACAUAAUUUGUAAAUACAACAUGACAACAUUUUUGUUGCCAGAAAGGAGUGUAGUAAAAUACACUUUUGUUGUUCUUAGGUAGACUACUGAUGUUCUA